GUGGAUAAUUUACGUCACGCGAAAUGGCUACGCACAAUAAAAAUAAACACUGUUUAACCAGUUGCCUUACCACGAGAAAUUUAUUAGCACGCCGGUGUGAGUUUGGGUUUUAAAAUCAAUCGGAAAAUGGUCCGGACUGCUAUUUCCAGAGCGUUUUUAAUCGUAGCACUUACAAGUUGCUACAUACAAGCAAAUCCCGUUGAUAAUGUAUCCAAAAAUAAAGAAGCUGUUGAUUAUCAUUAUCACUUGGAUAUCGAAGAUGACGACGCUGUGAAAACACGUGUCAAACGCAAAGCUCGUCUUAUGUAUGAUUAUGAUGAUGACGCCGAUGAUAAACCAGAUGAUGAUAAAAAUACCCCGAAAGGCAAAGAUACAAUGGCGGAUAGAGCAAUCAAAUCGAUAUUUUUCUUUGCGCCGAGGAACAUUUUGCGUGGAGCUAAAAAGAUCGUCGAGUUUGCCGAAGGUGGUUUUUUGGCCGUUUCCAAUUCACUGCGGGUUACUUUCACCAAACUUAUCAAUUCGAUGAGUUAGGUUAUGUGUACAAAAUGGCGUGCUUAACAAUAUCAAUAAAGUUACUUGUAUCUAGUAGUAAA